CCCAGGGCGUUGCCCUGGGCUGAGUUAGGUUGCCCUUUCAGGGCA
rnacentral:sRNA from 1 species